rnacentral:rRNA from 1 species
UACGGAGGAUCCAAGCGUUAUCCGGAUUUAUUGGGUUUAAAGGGUGCGUAGGCGGAUUGAUAAGUUAGAGGUGAAAUGUCCAAGCUCAACUCGGGAACUGCCUCUAAUACUGUUGAUCUAGAGAGUAGAUGCGGUAGGCGGAAUGUAUGGUGUAGCGGUGAAAUGCUUAGAGAUCAUACAGAACACCGAUUGCGAAGGCAGCUUACCAAUCUAUAUCUGACGUUGAGGCACGAAAGCGUGGGGAGCAAACAGG